rnacentral:rRNA from 1 species
UACGGAGGGGGCUAGCGUUGUUCGGAAUUACUGGGCGUAAAGCGCGCGUAGGCGGCUUUGUAAGUUAGAGGUGAAAGCCCGGGGCUCAACUCCGGAAUUGCCUUUAAAACUGCAUCGCUAGAGUUGUGGAGAGGUGAGUGGAAUUCCGAGUGUAGAGGUGAAAUUCGUAGAUAUUCGGAAGAACACCAGUGGCGAAGGCGACUUACUGGACACAUACUGACGCUGAGGUGCGAAAGCGUGGGGAGCAAACAGG